UACAGAGGGGGCGAGCGUUAUUCGGAAUUAUUGGGCGUAAAGGGCGCGUAGGCGGCUAAGUAAGUCUCGGGUGAAAUCCCUCGGCUCAACCGAGGAACUGCCUUGGAAACUGCUUGGCUUGAGGCCGGGAGAGGAUGGUGGAAUUCCCAGUGUAGCGGUGAAAUGCGUAGAUAUUGGGAGGAACACCGGUGGCGAAGGCGGCCAUCUGGACCGGUACUGACGCUGAGGCGCGAAAGCGUGGGGAGCAAACAGG
rnacentral:rRNA from 1 species